rnacentral:rRNA from 1 species
GACGAACGCUGGCGGCGUGCUUAACACAUGCAAGUCGAACGGAAAGGCCCUGCUUUUGUGGGGUGCUCGAGUGGCGAACGGGUGAGUAACACGUGAGUAACCUGCCCUUGACUUUGGGAUAACUUCAGGAAACUGGGGCUAAUACCGGAUAGGAGCUCCCGCUGCAUGGUGGGGGUUGGAAAGUUUCGGCGGUUGGGGAUGGACGCGCGGCUUAUCAGCUUGUUGGUGGGGUAGUGGCUUACCAAGGCUUUGACGGGUAGCCGGCCUGAGAGGGUGACCGGCGACAUUGGGACUGAGAUACGGCCCAGACUCCUACGGGAGGCAGCGGUGGGGAAUAUUGCACAAUGGGCGGAAGCCUGAUGCAGCAGCGCCGCGUGCGGGAUGACGGCCUUCGGGUUGUGAACCGCUUUCGCCUGUGACGAAGCGUGAGUGACGGUAAUGGGUAAAGAAGCACCGGCUAACUACGUG